AAGAUCACCAUAAUUUUCUAUAGUUUCAGAGUUAUCUGCCAAUGAUAGUGUUUCAGUCACAUCAUGUAUGUCACAUAGCCACAGUAUAUCACCUGUAGCAAAAAGAAAAAAAGUUCUCCAUCAUCCAAAAACCACCAUAGAUAAAUCUGUGAUAAGAACAAGCAGAUUACAAAAAGAGAAACAAUUGAUACAACAGGAAACGUACAUACAGCAGAAUACUUACAAGAAGUAGCAGUAAAA